rnacentral:rRNA from 1 species
GAGGAAAGCGGGCGGCGUGCCUAAUACAUGCAAGUCGAGCGAACAGACGAGGAGCUUGCUCCUCUGACGUUAGCGGCGGACGUGUGAGUAACACGUGGAUAACCUACCUAUAAGACUGGGAUAACUUCGGGAAACCGGAGCUAAUACCGGAUAAUAUAUUGAACCGCAUGGUUCAAUAGUGAAAGACGGUUUUGCUGUCACUUAUAGAUGGAUCCGCGCCGCAUUAGCUAGUUGGUAAGGUAACGGCUUACCAAGGCAACGAUGCGUAGCCGACCUGAGAGGGUGAUCGGCCACACUGGAACUGAGACACGGUCCAGACUCCUACGGGAGGCAGCAGUAGGGAAUCUUCCGCAAUGGGCGAAAGCCUGACGGAGCAACGCCGCGUGAGUGAUGAAGGUCUUCGGAUCGUAAAACUCUGUUAUUAGGGAAGAACAAAUGUGUAAGUAACUAUGCACGUCUUGACGGUACCUAAUCAGAAAGCCACGGCUAACUACGUG